rnacentral:rRNA from 1 species
UACGGGGGGGGCAAGCGUUGUUCGGAAUUACUGGGCGUAAAGGGCGCGUAGGCGGUCAGAUAAGUCAGCUGUGAAAACCUCGGGCUUAACCCGAGGCCUGCAGUUGAAACUGUUUGGCUGGAGUGUGGGAGAGGAGAGUGGAAUUCCUGGUGUAGCGGUGAAAUGCGCAGAUAUCAGGAGGAACACCGGUGGCGAAGGCGGGUCUCUGGGCUGACACUGACGCUCAUGCACGAAAGCGUGGGGAGCAAACAGG